rnacentral:lncRNA from 1 species
AUACGUUCCACCUGUAUGUUUGGAAGAGAAAGAACUAUGCUCACUCCUUCUGAGCUGUCCCUAUUUAUUUAUUUAUUUUUGGUCUGAUGGCUAAAUAAAGAUUUUUUGUAUUCAAGAGAAAUAAUUUAAUGAGAUAAAAUAUUAUUUCCUAAGAAAAAUAUAUCAGCUGAAACCUGGGAAACAUCUAGAUAAUUUAAUUGAAAAUGAUUGACAUUCUCAAACAAAAAAGAAAAGAAAAUCAGAUACACCGCUUUCUUCUCUCCCUAUCUGCGGAGCCUGCCUCCUCCAACCUGCAUAGCUGCAUCCCAGUGCAUGUGCACCUGCCUGCUUGGACACUUCAAUGACUAACUUCUCUGCAAAUACAUCAAUAGUUUCAUUGCCUUCAGGCUUCUUCUAUGUCUUUUAACUCUUGAACCUUCUGGUGCAUUUUAGCUUACCAAACAGCACAUGCUGCUUUGUACUUGUGUUGUUUUAUGUAUUCAUUUAUUGCACAAAUUUUCCUUGAGUGCCUUGUUCAUGGAAGGCGCUAUUCCAGGAAUUUUAUGUGUAGUUUAAGUUACCUCCAUCUAAACUAUAAGAUUUUCAUAUAAUUCAUCUUUGUAGUUCUACCACAAGCAUAUUAGUAGAUUCUAAAUAAACGUUAACUCCAUAUUUGUGUGCAUGUAGAAAUAUGUCAUGUUUAUGUAUAUAUUAAUGCAUCUAUGUUUCUAUAUCUAACAAUGAUAAAAAAGUGCUAAUAAAAUGAUGAUUAACGUU